GACGAACGCUGGCGGCGUGCUUAACACAUGCAAGUCGAACGGAAAGGCCCUGCUUUUGUGGGGUGCUCGAGUGGCGAACGGGUGAGUAACACGUGAGUAACCUGCCCUUGACUUUGGGAUAACUUCAGGAAACUGGGGCUAAUACCGGAUAGGAGCUCCUGCUGCAUGGUGGGGGUUGGAAAGUUUCGGCGGUUGGGGAUGGACUCGCGGCUUAUCAGCUUGUUGGUGGGGUAGUGGCUUACCAAGGCUUUGACGGGUAGCCGGCCUGAGAGGGUGACCGGCCACAUUGGGACUGGGAUACGGCCCAGACUCCUACGGGAGGCAGCAGUGGGGAAUAUUGCACAAUGGGCGGAGGCCUGAUGCAGCAACGCCGCGUGCGGGAUGACGGCCUUCGGGUUGUAAUCCGCUUUCGCCUGUGACGAAGCGUGAGUGACGGUAAUGGGUAAAGAAGCACCGGCUAACUACGUG
rnacentral:rRNA from 1 species